rnacentral:rRNA from 1 species
GUAUGCGAUCAUACCAGCACUGAAGCACCGGAUCCCAUCAGAACUCUGAAGUUAAGCGUGCUUGGGCGAGAGUAGUACUAGGAUGGGUGACCUCCUGGGAAGUCCUCGUGUUGCAUUCA